UACGAAGGGGGCUAGCGUUGCUCGGAUUGACUGGGCGUAAAGGGCGCGUAGGCGGUUCGUACAGUCAGGCGUGAAAUUCCUGGGCUCAACCUGGGGACUGCGCUUGAUACGGCAGAGCUUGAGGAUGGAAGAGGGUCGCGGAAUUCCCAGUGUAGAGGUGAAAUUCGUUAGAUAUUGGGAAGGAACACCGGUGGCGAAGGCGGCGACCUGGUCCAUUACUGACGCUGAGGCGCGACAGCGUGGGGAGCAAACAGG
rnacentral:rRNA from 1 species